rnacentral:rRNA from 1 species
CAGCAGCCGCGGGAAAACGGAGGGAGCUAGCGUUGUUCGGAAUUACUGGGCGUAAAGCGCACGUAGGCGGCUCAGCGAGUCAGGGGUGAGAUCCCGGGGCUCAACCCCGGAACUGCCCUUGAAACUGCUAGGCUAGAAUCUUGGAGAGGCGAGUGGAAUUCCGAGUGUAGAGGUGAAAUUCGUAGAUAUUCGGAAGAACACCAGUGGCGAAGGCGACUCGCUGGACAAGUAUUGACGCUGAGGCUCGAAAGCGUGGGGAGCAAACAGGAUUAGAUACCCGAGUAGUCCCUGUCUCUUAUAC